ACGGGAGGCAGCAGUGGGGAAUAUUAGGCAAUGGGGGCAACCCUGACCUAGCAACGCCGCGUGAAGGAUGAAGGUUUUCGGAUUGUAAACUUCUUUGGCAGGGGACGAUAAUGACGGUACCCUGAGAACAAGCCACGGCUAACUACGUGCCAGCAGCCGCGGUAAUACGUAGGUGGCAAGCGUUGUCCGGAUUUACUGGGUGUAAAGGGCGAGUAGGCGGGAAUGCAAGUCAGAUGUGAAAUACCGGGGCUUAACCCCGGAGCUGCAUUUGAAACUGUAUUUCUUGAGUGAUGGAGAGGCAGGCGGAAUUCCCGGUGUAGCGGUGAAAUGCAUAGAGAUCGGGAGGAACACCAGUGGCGAAGGCGGCCUGCUGGACAUUAACUGACGCUGAGGCGCGAAAGUGUGGGGAGCAAACAGGAUUAGAUACCCUGGUA
rnacentral:rRNA from 2 species